rnacentral:piRNA from 1 species
UUGGAAAUGAUUGUGCCACUAC